AAGAUAGUGUGAGGGGGAUUUCUCAAACAAGUGAAGGUGUUUGGACUCGUGUGUCCAAAAAAUACUUAGAGUUCUACGAAGGCACCAUUCCACCGAAUACCCGAAACCACGAAAGUUGUUCUUCAAGAUGGAAGAAACAUCUUCAUCCAAGUUUGAAUAAAUGGCAUCAAGCACUAUUAGCAGCAGCAAGUAGACAUGAAAGCGGCGCCAAUUACUAUGACGAAGUACGCCAAGCGGAGGAAUUGUAUAUGGAGGGCAGCUCAAAACCCUUUCAGUUUCACGGUUGUUGGGAAAUUUGUAAAGGGUGGGUAUUAUUUGAAGAUCCACCUCAACAUAGAGUGGAUUCUUUGGAAGCUGCAUCCCCAUCUGUAGAUAUGAAUGAAGAUGGAUCUCCUACCAUUCAACAAACAAGGGUAGAAAAUCCGACUCCGUCCGAAAUUUCUUUACCUAGGGCUAUGAGACGAAACAAGGCCCGAAGGUUGAGGGAAAAUGGCAAGGCAAAUGCUGAUUACGCCGCUUAACAUGAAGUGGCGGCCUCAUUUCGAUUACUGGCGGAGCAAAAUGCCCGUGAGGCGGAAGAAAGGAAGUGUAGACAUGAAGAGUGAGCCAAACAAAUA